GCUGGNNGANUGAUUGGNGAGAAANUUUCUGUCUCUUUUUAAUUUUUUUUUGAAUUUAACUUUUAAGUAAAAAGGCUUAAAUUUUUAUUGAAGACGAGAAGACCCUAUAGAGUUUUAUAGUAUUUUAAUUAAAAAUUUAUUUGGAAUUGUUUAAUUUUUUGAUUUUAUAUUAUUUGGUUGGGGUGACUAAAAGAUUUGUUUAACUCUUUUAAUGUUUUAUAUCAUUGAUUUAUGAUUUUUUAAUCUAGAUUGUCUAAAUUUAAUGUAAAUUACCUUAGGGAUAACAGCGUAAUUUCUUUUUAGAGUUCUUAUUGAUAAAGAAGUUUGNGACCUCNAAUGUUGAUUUAAAUUGCCGCGGUA
rnacentral:rRNA from 1 species